UGAGCUCGUUUGUGCUGGUUAGCCUGGUAACAUAACGUUACCUUUACGUUACUAACUCUGGUGUUUUAUAUAACUGGCAUAUUGCAACGUUAUAAGUUACGUGUCUGUAAAUGAGGUGAAAGAAAGGAAAAUAUGGUGGUGUUAUUUUUUGAGCUGGUUCGGAAUUAACAUUAGCUAAGGUGCUAAUUUUACCGUUGAAGGUUUUAGCUUGACUUUUGCCGCUUAAUCUUCCUCGGGCGGCUUUGGGUUGAGAUGAGCUCAGUGCUGAGUGUCUGUUAGCAUUGUUGUUACAUCCUUUGUCGAACAAUAUAACCUUAACUGAUAAUUGAUCCCCCCCCACCUUAUUUUUUUUUUUACAUCUAAUGACUGUUCAUUUGUUUAAACCAUGACCUUGCAAAUGUUAAAAGUGCAGAUUAGCUACGUAGGUCAGCAAGGAUGAAUUUCUAACGUUGUUCUUUUUUUUUUCUUUUCUUCAGAUGACUUUUUGUUUUAACUCCCAAGCUUUUUCCCUCCAAGUGGCUGUGCAGUUCUGUCCUGCUGACUGCUAACGUAGCUUCAUCUCUUCAAAAGACAAGACAACAGGUAUCUUCCACCAAGAUGUCUGUUGAAAUGGAAAUGACCUUGCCCACUACACCAAGGGUAAUCAUGCUUGGAAAUAGCUUGAUGUCUGCAACCCGGUGGAUGGUCAGUAUGGAGGAGAAGGUAUUUUUCGAGCCAGACCAACUACAUGACUUUGCCAGCGUCCUUGCUGUCUUUUUUGGGUCAUAUUAUGUCUUCAAUCUGGAGUAUCAGGAGUCAGCAUCCACCACGCUGGAGAUGAUACAACGGCAAGUACUCUACACCAAGCCAUUUAUGAAUUAAAUUUAAUGACAGUUUGACUGAUGGUGAAGAACCAUAGCUGAUUGCUGUAUUGUACGUCUUCAUUAAAAAUUACAAUUAAUAUAUUUUAUUUCUGUUAAAAAAUUCUUUGUGAGGAUCAAUCCAGAUGUUGGUACCAAAUGCACAGCCAAAGUCGAUACAAGCUGCAAGACGGGAAGUCUUGUCAAGAGGAAAGUAGUCAGUGUCAACUCCCAGAUCACCACCUUCUUCCAACAACUUGCUGAAUUUGAAUGGAGGACUUCCAACUAGUUCAGCUUCCACAAGAUGGAUCCCACUGAUUUUGUUUGACGAAUGGAAUAAAAGUUCUUCUGAUGUAGGAAAUGUGUUCUAUGGUUUUGUUGUUUUACAGCACAUUAUAUUGUAUUGUGACAUUGUUCUUUAUGACAUUGCGAAUAUGUAAAUGGAUUUUAUUUCUACAAAUCUGCUGAAAAUAAAUACCUGUUAUUCACAGUA